ACAGCGGUGAGCAGAUCUGCCUCCUGUGAGGGAUACCUCUGCCCAAAGCCUGAUCCUGGAACUGUGCUGAGAUGUGUGACCCUGGAGUUAGAGGGAGCCGUUAACUAACUCUUGCGGGGAGAGAAGGACAUUAAAGAAUUUCAGAAAGCGGUUGGUUGCAGAUGCAGACAGUUUGAACUACUUUUCUCUGCUGGCUGAGUACAACAGUCCUGGGAACAGGCAAAUGCUUUCACAGGUACACAGACCAGUAAAUCAGUUUUCUGGUCUAUUAAUACCCACGGGUUGCAUUCUUCAGGGGAGCUGCCAAACCGCUCGUGAAAGAGCCCCAAAGCAUUAGCUGAACCUAUCAGGUUCCCCACUAAUGGAGCAGGCUUCAACUCCAGGACUUGAAGCAUGCCUUUACCUCCAUGAAAUUCAGACCUGCGACACCAAGAAAAGAAGGAGAAAAGCAGCAGCCGCCCCCAGAGGGGGAGUAACUCACACGAAGUAGGAAGAGAAAUAUGCACAUACUAAAAUGUAAUUAAGUAUCGUCAUUGGUAGUAUAGGCUUUCCCCUGCCACUUGGAAAUUCUCCAAGUAUACUGAACCCAUUCACUUACAAAACAAACAACCCAGCCUCGUUAGCACAUCCUGCAGAAUUGCCUAAUUUACAUAAUGUAGGCAAUCUACUGCGGAUUUAGCUGUUGCAAGUUGUCCUCAUUCAAGAUGCUGCUGUGUUAUGUGCAGCGUUAUUGUUUAAGGUUUCAUUUUUAGCCACAGUUGGAGUUGUAUUUUGUUUGUGGCAUAAAGGCAACAGAACAUUUUCUACCACUACUAUUGUUAGCAGUGCUUUAAUCAUGAUACUUUGAAACCUAAACCUGACUUCGAGCAGUUCCCAAAAGGUCACCCUCAGAAAUCUUACGGAAAGUUGGCAUCUGUGCAGCCCUUUACAUACAUUUAUACAGGGCACAGAAUGUUUGUAAUUGAGUUAGAAGCCCAUCAUUCAACAUUCAGUCACAAGGCUGGAGGAAAGCAAGUGAUCUCUACCAUAUAUAAUGCAUUAGCUAAUCAAAGCGAAUUUCCCAGUGCCUUUGAAAAGGAAAUGUAGCAUCAACUUGUGUGCUCUGCCCGAUGCAGAAUACAGGGGAAGAGGGGAACAUGGCUCUACACACAAAGCUCAUUCAGCACUUGAUACUCAGUCCAGGAUCCAAGAUUUCUCACAGGGAGCUGUUGGAAAAGGAACCAUUUUUGGGUGACCCCACUUCCCUCAGUGCUUGUGAAGACUCCUGCUACGUUGACGAAGAUCCUUAACCUUUGACUCUUCCUCAGACCACACUAACUUGACAUGGAAGAGAAGUCAGCAUUGCUUGGCUGUGUUGGACUAUACUGACCUGCAGUACUUCACGCAGCAGGGAUUUCUGACUGCCUUCACUACUGCUCAGCCUGGCCAGCCGUCCAGUUGUGCUUUCUAACUGAAGAAUAAUAAUUAAAAACACGUGUCCUUUCUGA